GCCGGAGGCGGGGCUCCUUUUCUCCCCGGCCCGAGCCCGACUUUCACAGGGCUUCCCACUCGCUCUCUCUCUCUCUCUCUCGUUCGCUCCCUGCCUGUCUGGGGUUCGAUAGAUAGCUGCUAUCGUCAAUAGGUAUCCCGCUCGCCGCCUACCACCGCGUGGAUUUAUCUCUGCGUUGGUCUCUCGGGUCCCUGGUGGGCGGCCGGGAGGAGGCGCUGAAGGCGGCGUUGCUCCCCAGCGGCGGGUAAUUUCCUUGCUUCAUCUUCGUCGCCAUCGUCGGCUUUCUCGCUUUCGGCUUCCUCCGUCUCCUUCUCCCCCCUGCCUGGCCAGGCCUAGGUUUGCGAGGUUGUUGGGGUGUGGGGAAAUCGCUAAGAUCACCGUUGUCGCUCGUGAUUUUCGACGCCGUACGAACCGGAAAACAACAGUAAGAUCUGAUCUUCAACAAUACCCCCUUCUUAUGAGGUUGCUAGGGUCUGUUCCUUCUUCUGAUCGCCCCCGAUUCGGCACGUCGCUAACCCUAUCGGGAAUCCGUCUCUCCUUCAACCCGCGGAGUUCAUCAUCUGCCAUUGGUCGCUACUUGAUCCGAUUUCCAAUCUCUUGGAGUGGUGCCAUUCCUAGUUCUACUCUUCGAUUUCCUAGAAUCUAAGCUCUGUAGAUGACGACGGCAUGCCCUACCGAGCGAGAGCUCUUGGUAGUGGUGAGAAAACGGUGAUGGGUUCUGGCGAUAGUUUAAGACUGAUGCGAAGGUAUUUACCCCGCGGCAAACGUUUCUAGGCUUCGAUAGCCUUCUCUCUGUAACCCUCUCUUUCGUGUCUCCCCUUCCAGGGCAAACCACACUUCAUGCGUUGCAGGAUUCUUCCUAGCCUCGAUGGCUGGACGAUUAUUGAGAAUAUUGGAGAAUUGUGUUGUAUCUUUCCAUGAGUCCCCUGUAUUUGUCCUCUCACGGACGAGUGUUCUUUCUGUAGGUCAACACCAAUACGCAUCGUAUAUCUUCGUCUUCUCAGACAUCAAUGAUUUUAACAAGUGAAUACAGUUUAAUGUCGGUCGUCGGAAGCUCAAAUUAGUAAUAUGUACAAAGCCAAGUCCGCGCAGAAAUCAUUUUCUGCACCCAUUGUUGACUGUGGUUUUCAGUGUACUCUUUUUUUUUUCGUCAUGUUUUGUUUAAAUAUUUGUUAAUUCAUAGUGUACCUCGUCGUACUGAUAAAAUCAUUAGUUGUACUAGACACCAACCAUUGUUUUGGAUGGCAACUGAGUCAGCUCAUUUUGUUAAAUGAAAUGAAUGUAUAUUAUAGUGAACAAGGUGUCUGUUGGCCAGUCCAUGUCUAGUUAGGAAAGUUUUGCAAUCCUUUGAGUCAUUCUUUUAUCUGUCGGCAAGUUACAGCAAGAGGCACCUAAUGGACAUCCAUUGGAAUUUAGAAUCCGGUGGAAUUUGGACGACUUAUCUCGUAAAUGUGCUUCAAGCUUUUUUCAAAAGUCUCCAUUGUAUUCGUCUUGCCAAAUUUCAUUUGGUGAAGUGGCUUUUUGGGUUUGAUGGAAAUGGACUUCUUGUGUCCAGUAGGCUCUUUGGAGUAUGUCCCGAUAUUUUUUCGUAAUGAUAUGUUGGAUUGUUUUGACUAAGUCUGUGGCAUAGCUCUCCAGAAUGCUUUUUGAGGAUGAUUCAUGGGUAUUUUUCCACACCUGGCGUUGACAUUUUCUUGGGUAUUUGGUGCAG
rnacentral:lncRNA from 1 species